CGCGUUCCCUUCCUCACGAAACAACCUUCCCCUCUUCUCUCCUCGUUUCCUCUUCUCCGGGCGGACCUAGGGUUGCCGCCGCUGCCGCCGUCUGCACAUCCCAGGCUCCCAGCUCCCCCGGCGCCCGCUCCUCCGUCGAGAGGACAGGAACAUGGUGGCAGCGGCCGGUGGAGAGGGGGCAUCCGGGUCAACAAGACGUUGCGGUACGAGGUGAAUCGGCGGCAAGCCCGGCGCCAACGCUACGCGCCGCCUCUCCGACUCCUCACUCCGUCCUCGUCCACGGUGGCCGCCGCCACCCUCACCUGCGCUCAUGCCCUCUUCAUCUCCGGCCGCGAGCUCCACCCUGUCCAGCCUCAUCUCCCCAGAUCUUCUUGGUUUUGGUCCGGGAGCAUACGGGUGCGGAUCAAAGCGUUGAUGGACAGGUUCGUGAAGGAGCUGCAGAAGGCGCUGGACGUGGACAUCCAGGAUCGCAUCAUGAAGGAGCGGGAGAUGCCAGCUACAUCAGGAGCGCAAACGCGAGGUCGCCGAGAGGGAGGCCGUUUGGAAGGCUGAGCUCUCCCACCGCGAGAUGGCAACUUCUUUGGGGUUGUGUCAGCAAGCUUUAUUCAACUUCUUUGGAAUGUCGUAGGAUAAUUGCCAUGAUUUAGCUUUAGAUUCCCACAUGUUUCUUGAUCUGAGUGUAUGCUCAUGUGGUAGUUAAUUAUUUGGUUCCAUGACGAGGAAUAUGGAGAUCAAGUUGCACACUAUCAAGAGGCCUUCUCCAGAGGUAUUCUACAAGUUAUCAGAAUAGAUUCUCUUCAUUCCCUGUACCUUGCAGCAUCUCCAUCUAAGGCCGGAGUUCUGCACCUACCUACCUGUUGGUGUAAUAAAUUCCAACUAUGAAACUAAGCAUCAAUUUAUGUCCUACA